CCGUGAGGGAAAGGCGAAAAGAACCCCGGCGAGGGGAGUGAAAAAGAACCUGAAACCGUGUACGUACAAGCAGUGGGAGCACGCUUAGGCGUGUGACUGCGUACCUUUUGUAUAAUGGGUCAGCGACUUAUAUUCUGUAGCAAGGUUAACCGAAUAGGGGAGCCGAAGGGAAACCGAGUCUUAACUGGGCGUUAAGUUGCAGGGUAUAGACCCGAAACCCGGUGAUCUAGCCAUGGGCAGGUUGAAGGUUGGGUAACACUAACUGGAGGACCGAACCGACUAAUGUUGAAAAAUUAGCGGAUGACUUGUGGCUGGGGGUGAAAGGCCAAUCAAACCGGGAGAUAGCUGGUUCUCCCCGAAAGCU
rnacentral:rRNA from 1 species